rnacentral:rRNA from 1 species
AUUGAACGCUGGCGGCAGGCCUAACACAUGCAAGUCGAACGAGUGGGGGGCGGGUGAGCUAUGUCUGUGAAUCUUCCUGAGGGAGGGGGAUAACUAACGGAAACGGUUACUAAUACCGCACACCAGCAGCUGGGCCCAGAUGGGAUUAGCGAGUUGGUGGGGUAAAGGCUCACCAAGGCGACGAUCCCUAGCUGGUCUGAGAGGAUGAACAGCCACACUGGAACUGAGACACGGUCCAGACUCCUACGGGAGGCAGCAGUGGGGAAUAUUGCACAAUGGGCGCAAGCCUGAUGCAGCCAUGCCGCGUGUAUGAAGAAGGCCUUCGGAUUGUAAAGUACUUUCAGCGGGGAGGCGUUACCCGCAGAAGAAGCACCGGCUAACUCCGUGCCAGCAGCCGCGGUAAUUC